AAAUUGAAGAGUUUGAUCAUGGCUCAGAUUGAACGCUGGCGGCAGGCCUAACACAUGCAAGUCGAACGGUAACAGGAAACAGCUUGCUGUUUCGCUGACGAGUGGCGGACGGGUGAGUAAUGUCUGGGAAACUGCCUGAUGGAGGGGGAUAACUACUGGAAACGGUAGCUAAUACCGCAUAACGUCGCAAGACCAAAGAGGGGGACCUU
rnacentral:rRNA from 2 species